rnacentral:tRNA from 1 species
GCAUGGGUGGCUCAGUGGUUGAGCAUCUGCCUUUGGCUCAGUACCUGAUCCCAGGGUUUGGGAUCGAGUCCCACAUCAGGCU